GAUCAUUACUGAGUUUACGCUCUACAACCCUUUGUGAACAUACCUAUAACUGUUGCUUCGGCGGGUAGGGUCUCCGUGACCCUCCCGGCCUCCCGCCCCCGGGCGGGUCGGCGCCCGCCGGAGGAUAACCAAACUCUGAUUUAACGACGUUUCUUCUGAGUGGUACAAGCAAAUAAUCAAAACUUUUAACAACGGAUCUCUUGGUUCUGGCAUCGAUGAAGAACGCAGCGAAAUGCGAUAAGUAAUGUGAAUUGCAGAAUUCAGUGAAUCAUCGAAUCUUUGAACGCACAUUGCGCCCGCCAGCAUUCUGGCGGGCAUGCCUGUUCGAGCGUCAUUUCAACCCUCAAGCUCUGCUUGGUGUUGGGGCCCUACAGCUGAUGUAGGCCCUCAAAGGUAGUGGCGGACCCUCCCGGAGCCUCCUUUGCGUAGUAACUUUACGUCUCGCACUGGGAUCCGGAGGGACUCUUGCCGUAAAACCCCCAAUUUUCCAAAGGUUGACCUCGGAUCAGGUAGGAAUACCCGCUGAACUUAAGCAUAUCAAUAAGCGGAGGAAAAGAAACCAACAGGGAUUGCCUCAGUAACGGCGAGUGAAGCGGCAACAGCUCAAAUUUGAAAUCUGGCCCUAGGCCCGAGUUGUAAUUUGCAGAGGAUGCUUUUGGUGCGGUGCCUUCCAAGUUCCCUAGAACGGGACGCCAGAGAGGGUGAGAGCCCCGUACAGUUGGACACCAAGCCUUUGUAAAGCUCCUUCGACGAGUCGAGUAGUUUGGGAAUGCUGCUCAAAAUGGGAGGUAUAUUUCUUCUAAAGCUAAAUACCGGCCAGAGACCGAUAGCGCACAAGUAGAGUGAUCGAAAGAUGAAAAGCACUUUGAAAAGAGGGUUAAACAGCACGUGAAAUUGUUAAAAGGGAAGCGCUUGUGACCAGACUUGCGUCCGGUGAAUCACCCAGCUCUCGCGGCUGGGGCACUUCGCCGGCUCAGGCCAGCAUCAGCUCGCUGUCGGGGACAAAAGCUUCAGGAACGUAGCUCUCUUCGGGGAGUGUUAUAGCCUGUUGCAUAAUACCCUUCGGCGGGCUGA
rnacentral:misc_RNA from 1 species